rnacentral:rRNA from 1 species
CCUACGGGAGGCAGCAGUGGGGAAUAUUGGACAAUGGGCGAAAGCCUGGUCCAGCCAUGCCGCGUGUGUGAAGAAGGCCUUCGGGUUGUAAAGCACUUUCAGUGGGGAAGAAAGCCUUGGGGCUAAUACCCUCGAGGAAGGACAUCACCCACAGAAGAAGCACCGGCUAACUCCGUGCCAGCAGCCGCGGUAAUACGGAGGGUGCGAGCGUUAAUCGGAAUUACUGGGCGUAAAGCGCGCGUAGGCGGUCUGAUAAGCCGGUUGUGAAAGCCCCGGGCUCAACCUGGGAACGGCAUCCGGAACUGUCAGGCUAGAGUGCAGGAGAGGAAGGUAGAAUUCCCGGUGUAGCGGUGAAAUGCGUAGAGAUCGGGAGGAAUACCAGUGGCGAAGGCGGCCUUCUGGACUGACACUGACGCUGAGGUGCGAAAGCGUGGGUAGCAAACAGGAUUAGAUACCCUGGUAGUC